rnacentral:tRNA from 1 species
GGGAUUGUGGCUCAGUGGUAGAGCGCUCAUCUAGCACGUGAGAGGCACGUGAGAGGCGCUAGGUCGAAUCCUCAGCACCA